ensembl:ncRNA ZC334.17 ncRNA
GGGGGCCCGGCGCAGAAAAAAAAGAGCAUGGCAGCAAUGGAACAAAACUGAGAAAAGUACUCUAGGGGCUUUUCUUUGGAAUUUUU